GAGCUGGAUUAUGUCAGUUUACAGCCUGAGCUCCCAUGAAGAUCAUGGAGCUCAUUGCCAGAGGCCCAGAGCCAUCAUCAGCUGUCUUUAACCUGCUGAAUCUUUUCCUACAAAGUAUGUUUAUAUCUGAACUUUAUUCAUCUGCCUGCAGCUCCCAGAUCACACCUUUGCAAACAGGUCAAUGACAUUCGGAUGUAUCACUGGCUGGUGCGCCAUUGAUCAGCUCACGCUGGAUAUAUUCCAUUACCAGAAUAAAUGCCUUACUGAUGCCCCCCAGCGAUAAGAGGAUACAUAGCUUGGGACUAGAUGAAGUGAACUAUCUUUGAUGUCUUGCUGAUUUCUGGAUUGUACUGUGGGGUUGCUGCUGCUUCUGUAGCUGGAAACGCUGGCCACAUGCUCGACCAGUUAAUGGUGAGGACACCAUACGCCUUUCUCUUUACUCAUCUCACCCCAGUUCUGGCUAAUUGACUGUAAAUAAGUUUGUAUAAUAUAGAUACUAAAAGAAACCCUGUCUCUUGUAUCAGCUGCCCUGCUAUUUACCAAUUAGUACCUUGUUUUGGCCACUCUAAUUUGAUAGCUUGCUAGGUGUGCUCUUAGAACAUGAGCACAGACUUCAUUCAAGUUAUAUUGAAUUUAGAUAAUCCUAGUAGCGAAGAAAAUUGAGUCUUGUACUUACACCUAGGAUUUGUGUUAUUCAUUACCCAUGUCAGUGUUU